rnacentral:lncRNA from 1 species
UUAAAUUAUGUUCUAUGAAAAGUAGAUUUUAUCUUCUACGAAAAUGAGUUAAUAGAAAUUGAAUUCCAUAUUAAACAAGUUUAUCUACUUGUUUUAGAACGUACAAUCUACUUUUAAUUAAAUUUCUAAAUACGAAGAUUGCGAAUUCUACCAGUUGUAAAGAUAGCUACAUUUUUUUUUUGUGAAAGCAUUUCCUACUUUUAUGAGAUAUUCUAAAAUUUCAAGAAUGUAAAAUCUAG